UACGAAGGGGGCUAGCGUUGUUCGGAAUUACUGGGCGUAAAGCGUACGUAGGCGGAUCUGUAAGUAGGGGGUGAAAUCCCCAGGCUCAACCUGGGAACUGCCUUCUAGACUGCAAGUCUUGAGAUCAGGAGAGGCGAGUGGAAUUCCGAGUGUAGAGGUGAAAUUCGUAGAUAUUCGGAGGAACACCAGUGGCGAAGGCGACUCGCUGGACUGAUACUGACGCUGAGGUACGAAAGCGUGGGGAGCAAACAGG
rnacentral:rRNA from 1 species